AGAGUUUGAUACUGGCUCAGGAUGAACGCUAGCGGCAGGCCUAAUACAUGCAAGCUGAACGGUAAAUAUUGUAGCAAUACGAUAUGAGAGUAGCGUAAGGGUGCGUAACACGUAUGCAAUCUGCCCUGUACAGGAGGAUAGCUCGGCGAAAGCCGGAUUAAUACUCCGUAAUAUUAUUGAGUGGCAUCAUUUGAUAAUUAAAGUCGCAAGACGGUAUGGGAUGAGCAUGCGUCUGAUUAGCUAGUUGGUGGUGUAACGGACCACCAAGGCGAUGAUCAGUAGGGGAACUGAGAGGUUGAUCCCCCACACUGGCACUGAGAUACGGGCCAGACUCCUACGGGAGGCAGCAGUAGGGAAUAUUGGUCAAUGGAUGCAAGUCUGAACCAGCCAUGCCGCGUGCAGGAAGAAGGCCUUCUGGGUUGUAAACUGCUUUUGCCGGGGGAUAAAAUUCCCAUGCGUGGGAAAUUGAAGGUACCCGGUGAAUAAGCCACGGCUAACUA
rnacentral:rRNA from 1 species